GACGAACGCUGGCGGCGUGCUUAACACAUGCAAGUCGAACGGAAAGGCCCUGCUUGCAGGGUGCUCGAGUGGCGAACGGGUGAGUAACACGUGGGUGAUCUGCCCCUUACUUUGGGAUAAGCCUGGGAAACUGGGUCUAAUACUGGAUAGGACCAUGCUGUAGGUGGUGUGGUGGAAAGAUUAGUUUCGGUAAGGGAUGAGCUCGCGGCCUAUCAGCUUGUUGGUGGGGUAAUGGCCUACCAAGGCGUCGACGGGUAGCCGGCCUGAGAGGGUGGACGGCCACAUUGGGACUGAGAUACAGCCCAGACUCCUACGGGAGGCAGCAGUGGGGAAUAUUGCACAAUGGGCGCAAGCCGGAUGCAGCGACGCCGCGUGGGGGAUGACGGCCUUCGGGUUGUAAACUCCUUUCAGCCAUGACGAAGCCCUUGUGGUGACGGUAGUGGUAGAAGAAGCACCGGCUAACUACGUG
rnacentral:rRNA from 1 species